rnacentral:rRNA from 1 species
AUGCAUGUUGACAUUGAUAGUAGGCCAUCUCGUGUUUUUACAGUACCCUAUCCUACAAGGAAGAACGGAAUCGAUGAUCACAUCAAUUGCAGGUACCUUUCUGCAUGUGAAGCCUUUUGGAGGAUGUUUGCAUAUAUUCAUGGACGGGAGCCUUCCGUUGAGAGAUUGGUUGUCCAUCUUCCUAAUAUGAAUAGAGUUAUAUUUGCUGAAACUGAUAACCUACAGAAUGUGCUAAACAACCCAUUUGCUUGCAAAACUAUGCUUACGGAAUGGUUUACUGCAAAUCAGAAGUACAUAUCUGCAAGGUCGCUGACUUAUAUGGAUUUCCCAAGUCAAUGGAUUUGGAAUAAAAGUGAAAAGGUGUGGACAAACAGAAAACUCCAAAGGAAGUUGGGCAGCAAGAUAGGCCGUAUUUAUCAUGUACAUCCGAGUACCGGUGAGUUGUUUUUCCUUCGGAUGUUGCUUAUGGUUGUUCCUGGAGCAACCUGUUUUGAGGAUUGA